CAGCUCUUGCUCCUUUGCAUACACGAACAAAUCUUUCGCCUUUUACUAAAGAUUUCCGUGCAAAGGAGCAAUUUUGAGUUCAAUCAAACAAUUUUUGUAGCCCUACAAGGGCA
rnacentral:snRNA from 1 species